rnacentral:rRNA from 1 species
CCUACGGGAGGCAGCAGUGAGGAAUAUUGGUCAAUGGGCGCGAGCCUGAACCAGCCAAGUCGCGUGAGGGAAGACGGUCCUAUGGAUUGUAAACCUCUUUUGUCGGGGAGCCAAAGACGCCACGCGUGGCGUUCCGAGAGUACCCGAAGAAAAAGCAUCGGCUUACUCCGUGCCAGCAGCCGCGGUAAUACUGAGGAUGGGAGCGUUAUCCGGAUUUAUUGGGUUUAACGGUGGCGUAGGCGGUCCGUUAAGUCAGCGGUAAAAUUGCGGGGCUCAACCCCGUCGAGCCGUUGAAACUGGCAGACUUGAGGUGGCGAGAAGGACGCGGAAUGCGCGGGGUAGCGGUGAAAUGAAUAGAUAGCGCGCAGAACUCCGAUUGCGAAGGCAGCGGACCGGCGCCAGACUGACGCUGAGGCACGAAAGCGUGGGGAUCGAACAGGAUUAGAUACCCUAGUAGUC